ACCUACGGGGGGCAGCAGUGGGGGAUAUUGCGCAAUGGGGGAAACCCUGAUGCAGCGACGCCGCGUGAGCGAUGAAGUAUUUCGGUAUGUAAAGCUCUAUCAGCAGGGAAGAAAAUGACGGUACCUGACUAAGAAGCCCCGGCUAACUACGUGCCAGCAGCCGCGGUAAUACGUAGGGGGCAAGCGUUAUCCGGAUUUACUGGGUGUAAAGGGAGCGUAGACGGCAAUGCAAGUCUGAAGUGAAAGGCAAGGGCUCAACCCUUGGACUGCUUUGGAAACUGUGCUGCUGGAGUGUCGGAGAGGCA
rnacentral:rRNA from 1 species